UGUUAUGUUGCAAAGAUGCCGCAUACUUGGUGGAAUUUUCAGAUAUAGGUUGAACCUCGAACUCCAAUUCACCAUUGACAAAUGGGAUACAAUUUUUCUCUCUCCAACAAAUACCGUUCUAUGAACGGAUCUGACCGAACUUCCAUUCAAUACAACAGCUUGGAUUAGAGAAGCUAGACCUGGUGCCUCUCAUCCAUGUUCAAGUCUCUGAGGGAAAUGGGGGAUACAAGUCAAAGUAAAAGUUGUCUUCUCUGCAAUUGAGGGCCUACGACUCAGUUCAUUCAUGGAAGAGGCCCACUUGACUGCAUGGUCAAAUGAUCAAGACCAGCACCCAUCUGCUUGCCCCUACCAUUGUGGAUGAUUGUACAGAAGACUCACUUGAGCUGCCUAAUUAAGCUGCAUCGUCAGAUUAUGAAGACAACACGUCUGUUCACAUCUAUUGCUUGUGGGUGAUUGUACACAAAACAUGUGGAUUGGAGAAUCCUACCUGUCUGAUUUUCUCUACUGAGUGUAGACUAUUUGGCUGAAUGUUUUCAUCACCUGUUUGCUUGAAGGCUGUUACUGAGAAAGAUAGGAUUGUCCUAUUGAUUUGAUAUUUAUACAGUUGACUGUCAACCAUAGGACUUAUAAGAUUGAGAUACCAGAUAAUACACACACACCCAUGAGCUGUGCUGGCCCAGUCAAGCAGUGGACCCUUAGACAUAAGGGCAAGCUCCAAAUUGAAAAUGAGUCAAUAGGUCUCUUGUUUGUUAAGGGUGGGCAAUUUUGUCUUCAAAAGGGAUUCUUCAAAUUGAGCAUAGAUGUUCCUCAUUGCUUGUGAGUUCAUCAGCUAGCUAGGCUUCAUAAAUAGCUUUUGGGAAGGAAUGGUCACUUUACUAGCUGUUUGUAGCUUUAUCCAUGUGUUCAGUUAGAAAGCCAAUGUAUGUAAAACAGAUCUGCAGUCUAAAUGUCAUGCUUAUUACAAGUAAUCAAACAGGUUUUAUUUGUGAUGUUUAUGUUAAGGAAUUGAUCAGCCAUUGUAUUUAUUGUUUGGUUGUGGAUAUCUCUGUUUAACCUUUUAUUCAUACUAUGAAAUUUGCUGAGUUCAGUUCAAUGUUGAUUCAAUUCUGUUUAACCUUUUGUGUCUAUUGUUGCAAUAUUCUUGUUUGUUUACAUUAUUUGCCCCUCUUUAAAUCCUGGAUUCUUUAAGAUUUGUAAGAUCUGUUCUAAUGGGAUGCUUUUCUCUUCUAGGCUUGUCUUCUUUCAGUAAUUUGAGUAGUCUUUGAAAGAUAUUUAGUGAUAAGUGCCCGAGAAGAGCAAAAAGAAAUCAUUCAUAAGGCAGGAUCACAACAUUGAUGUAAAAUCUUUUUUCAAUGAAAGGAAUUGGGAAAUCGGUUACAACGGUUGCAAGGAAUGUUCAGUGAUGUGAAGUGUAGAUUGAGCUGUUGGACCAUACCAGGAAGUGUCAAUAAUGCAGCCCAAGUUGGAGCAGUGGAAGAAUAUGUAGUGAUUUUUUUUUAUUCAAAUAAAAAUACUAGCUAAUUCUAUCUUUACUAUUUUUAAGAUGUGUAUGCUAUUUCUAAUGUAGUAUAAGCCCCGUAGGCAGUAGCUUUUUCCAUAUUAUCUCUGUAACU